UCAGCUUUUCAAUCUGUAGCAAAGUAGUAAUGGCGAAGGAAAAUAUCAUCAAUGAAGAAGUUCAUGAAUUGGAGUCCGAUGAUUCCAACAAUUCUCAUACUUCAAAUGAUGAGGUUUACCCAAGAAAAAGACAAAAUUGUAGUCAUGACUUCGUAGAGUUUGGAUUUAAAAGAUGCAUGAGCAUAAAGGGAUUUAAAACAUACAAUAGCAGAAAGAACUAUUCUCCAGCCGGCCGUGCACUUCCCGAGCGCCCUAAAAGGAAACAUAAAUCGGACAACAGCUUUAUUGUCAAGAAAAUCAGAAGCACUCGGGCAAAACUGUGUCGUUUCCUUUUUAAUAUUUGUUCUUAAAUGACAUUUUCUCCCCUUCUUUCCUUAGUUCUUUCCAAGUUUACAGCAUUAUUAUAUGAUGUAGUUUAUUGUUGUAAAUUUAACUUAAUAUAUUCUUCUUUUUUAGCCA